rnacentral:rRNA from 2 species
UGUUCACGCAGUGACGGUAUCUAACCAGAAAGUCACGGCUAACUACGUGCCAGCAGCCGCGGUAAUACGUAGGUGGCAAGCGUUAUCCGGAUUUAUUGGGCGUAAAGCGAGCGCCGGCGGUUUGAUAAGUCUGAUGUGAAAGCCUUUGGCUUAACCAAAGAAGUGCAUCGGAAACUGUCAGACUUGAGUGCAGAAGAGGACAGUGGAACUCCAUGUGUAGCGGUGGAAUGCGUAGAUAUAUGGAAGAACACCAGUGGCGAAGGCGGCUGUCUGGUCUGCAACUGACGCUGAGGCUCGAAAGCAUGGGUAGCGAACAGGAUUAGAUACCCUGGUAGUCCAUGCCGUAAACGAUGAGUGCUAGGUGUUGGAGGGUUUCCGCCCUUCAGUGCCGCAGCUAACGCAUUAAGCACUCCGCCUGGGGAGUACGACCGCAAGGUUGAAACUCAAAGGAAUUGACGGGGGCCCGCACAAGCGGUGGAGCAUGUGGUUUAAUUCGAAGCUACGCGAAGAACCUUACCAGGUCUUGACAUCUUGCGCCAACCCUAGAGAUAGGGCGUUUCCUUCGGGAACGCAAUGACAGGUGGUGCAUGGUCGUCGUCAGCUCGUGUCGUGAGAUGUUGGGUUAAGUCCCGCAACGAGCGCAACCCUUGUUACUAGUUGCCAGCAUUCAGUUGGGCACUCUAGUGAGACUGCCGGUGACAAACCGGAGGAAGGUGGGGACGACGUCAGAUCAUCAUGCCCCUUAUGACCUGGGCUACACACGUGCUACAAUGGACGGUACAACGAGUCGCGAACUCGCGAGGGCAAGCUAAUCUCUUAAAACCGUUCUCAGUUCGGACUGCAGGCUGCAACUCGCCUGCACGAAGUCGGAAUCGCUAGUAAUCGCGGAUCAGCAUGCCGCGGUGAAUACGUUCCCGGGCCUUGUACACACCGCCCGUCACACCAUGAGAGUUUGCAACA